ACACUCCUACGGGAGGCAGCAGUGGGGAAUAUUGCACAAUGGGCGCAAGCCUGAUGCAGCCAUGCCGCGUGUAUGAAGAAGGCCUUCGGGUUGUAAAGUACUUUCAGCGGGGAGGAAGGCAAUACGGUUAAUAACCGUGUUGAUUGACGUUACCCGCAGAAGAAGCACCGGCUAACCCCGUGCCAGCAGCCGCGGUAAUACGGAGGGUGCAAGCGUUAAUCGGAAUUACUGGGCGUAAAGCGCACGCAGGCGGUCUGUCAAGUCGGAUGUGAAAUCCCCGGGCUCAACCUGGGAACUGCAUUCGAAACUGGCAGGCUUGAGUCUUGUAGAGGGGGGUAGAAUUCCAGGUGUAGCGGUGAAAUGCGUAGAGAUCUGGAGGAAUACCGGUGGCGAAGGCGGCCCCCUGGACAAAGACUGACGCUCAGGUGCGAAAGCGUGGGGAGCAAACAGGAUUAGAAACCCGUGUAGUCCCAUG
rnacentral:rRNA from 1 species